UGCCUGCCCUGUGCGUGAUAGCGCUUUAUUUGGACCGACACAUUUAUUCAGGGAGUCCGGUCUCACCGUGUGGGAAUGCAGACCUCCCGCCGCCGCCCGUCUUUGACCGGCGCCGGCGGACGCUGGGAGCACAAAAGCGGUGACAGGACACCCACCUGCCAAAGCAGGGUCAAUCGGGUUCUACACGGCAGGGCGGGUUU
rnacentral:other from 1 species